AUGACUUGUGAUAAAACUAUAUUAAUUUCACCAUAAUUACCAUAAAAAAAUAAUCAAAAAGGAAUUAUGGUAUAAU
rnacentral:sRNA from 12 species